CCUCGGCCUCCCAAAGUGCUGGGAUUACAGGCGUGAGCCACCAUGCGCGGCCCAUAAUUUCUAACCAAUGCUUCCUACGUAAUGACUGCGGUUGAAAGAAAAUGUUAAUAAAAGGUAUGAGUUCUCUGGCAAUCUGGCUGCCCUCUUGAAGGCCACGACUGAACCAAGGUAUGUUCUGGAGGAAGAACUAUCUGGGUCACCUCAGGAUAAAAUCCCAAGGUAAUUCUCUUCCUCCCCAAACUCACUCUUUCCCACCCCACACCCUGUCUUCUCUCCCACCCCUCGGCUCUCUCACACACCCUUUCCAGACGGAGCUAAUGGUGAAGUCCCUCCGCCCCCAUCACAGGUGGCCCAGCAUCUGUCAGGAGGGGCGUAUGGAGAAUGGUCUCCCCUAGGACCUUUGGGGAGGACAGCCCCUAGCGCAGGGGUGCAGUUAAGCCCUCUGAAACCUGUCCCACCCCCAGGUAGCUGGGAGCUGUGGAUCCCAGGGAACCGUGACUGUCACAGACCACUGGGACUGCAGGAUUGACUCCCACUCAGACCAGAUCUAGGUGUGCCUGCCACUUGGGUCCCGCCCCCUUGGUGAGGACAGUGUUGAGUCCUGGCCAGUUCCCCCUGCCCGGGCUCAGGUGGCAGCUGAGAGGGGUGCAGAGGACUCCUGGCCCGUCACGCUGAGCCUGCCGGCCUCGGGACAGGCUCCGCAGAGCCCAAGACACCAUCUAUGGAAUGGCUGAUAGUCACCAACAUGCCCUGGGCCCCGUCUCACUGCUGGCAUCACCACACAUGCUUCUCCGACACACCUCCCUCCCAGCUCUUCGAGAGCCCAGCAGAAGGAGACACGGUGCCCCAGUGACGUGCAGCAGUACAGGGUCCCCCAGCCUGCUUGGGAUCUUUCCUUAUGUUCGAGGAUCAGAAAUAGAAGCCCAGGACUGAAGGAACGUUUUCAGGUUGCAGAUCCACGUUGACAACAUCCGCUAAAAGUCUACCUGCAUUUACGCUGCACUGAGGA